AGUAAAAUGGCUGAGAAAGGUGAAAGAUUGUAAAUCUUUUUAGGGAUUAAGAAAGAUCCUUUUACUA
rnacentral:tRNA from 1 species